rnacentral:rRNA from 1 species
UCGCUACUACCGAUUGAACGUCUUAGUGAGUUCCGAGGAUUUGGUCUUUUUGGGUCCGCCCAGUAGACUGGAGAGCAGGUGCAAACUUGAACGUUUAGAGGAAGUAA